CCGACUGUGGUAGAGCGAGUGAGCGAGGUUGCUGGUCCCGUUAGUGUGCGUCGUUCGUUCACUGCGAAUGGUUCAACCAACCCAGUCCCCUCGUAUAUCUACGCGCGCAAUACUACACUACGCCAGCAAGCAAGCAAGCGAGCAAUCCAAAUAUAUGUUGUGAGUGAGUCGUCCGACCGAAAAGAAAAAAAAAAAAGAAAGAGGGGCCUUCCACUGACAAGUCGGAGCUCUCGAGCUGGCACUUGGCUACGGAACGGCUUUCGGUGUCGGUGUGCGAGGACUAGACCUCCUAAGAACACUAAAUCCCUUCUCGGAUCGUCGCGGCUCGGCCAACUAAGUCCGGGCAAAUAAUAAUAAGUUUUUAGGAGAAUUAACUUUUCGGUAUUAAGGAUUUAAGCAAUAAAGUUUGAUGAAGAGGAGUCGGAACAGCGCCAGCUGAGCUGAGGUGGUAUAUCGACGUCGUCGACACGUCGGUCGAUCGGGGGCAACGUCGUCGUUGUCGUCUCGGGACGGUGUGGUCAGCCUUCCUUCCUGUUACCAUCGAAGAGACACACGGAAAAAGUAGAGGAGGAAAAAACUAACGGCGGUGAUUUUCACGCACUAAAUCCCGGAUUUUCGGGCUGUGGCUGCCCCGGCGUCGUCGUCGUCUUCAUCGAGUGAGUUGUGAGUGGGCGAGCGCGAAGCGGCGGAAGUUGUUCGACCUUCUCGUACCAGAAGUGUUCCGAACCGAGAAUCUUCGAAAACAGGAAAAGUUGAAAAGUGAAAGAAGUGCUUUUGGUUCGCGGAUCGCGGUGUGUGAAAUCGGGCUUAAGUGAUUAAGAAUUGUUCAAAACAUUCACAUGCCAGCAUCAUCAUAAGGCGAGUGAGAUUUUCCGGCGCACGCUUCGGCUUUGACGGAUGGUGUUCCGUCGUUGUCGUCGUCGGUUGGUGUCCUCAUCCCUCGCUUGCAGACUACGGUCGGUCGUACCCUGAGUGUUUGAGCGCUAGUGGAUUAAGAGCUGAGGUGAAAGCCAAUUAGCUAACCGAUCCGAUUGAUGGUUUUCGUGGUUUGAAUCCGGCGGAGAAAAAGUGAAUCCCCAGUUGAUGAAAUAUUAAAAGAGAUUUGUUGUGGCUGAAAAACCAAACAACCAAAGUCAGGUUCUUAGUGUACGAAUACUUCCGGGGUUGGCUGAAAAUUGCCAAGUGACUGUGGAAAAGAGUGAUUUUGUGCAUCGUUGAGAACAGUUUCCGUCGGAACGUUGGACAUACAGUAAAGGUUCAACGGCUCUUCGAGGCGUCGCGCGAGUGCUACCGAAGCGCAGUCCGCUGUCCGCAAAACAGCGAUCCCUUUUUGAGAACCCCGGUACAAGAAAACAGUCAAAACGAUUUAUCUCCGGCCGUACAAGGACAUCUUCCCGGGCGGUGGCCAUAACCAGUUGAGCUCGUUAUACCCACAGUCCGUGAUGGAACGUGGAGUUGGAGCGGGCACUGGGGCUGGCGGCGCCGGGAACGGUACCGGGCUCGACUCGAUGACCGAUACCAGCGGGCUCUGCCUGCAGGAUCUGGUCGGGAACGGUGGCGGUGGUACCGGUGGAGGCGGAGGUGGUGGUGGAGGAGGAACCAAUACCAAUGGGACCUCGGACCAUCACCUGCACCAUAACCACAACAGCCACAACCAUCACGGGUCGCUGCACGAUUCGGUGACGGGCGGUGGGGUCAGUGUGAGUUCGGCCCUGACCAGCCUGAUGAGUCCCGGGAUCAACAGCGGGCUCGGCCAUCUGCAUCAUGGUACUCCGGAUCUCAGUGCACAUCACCACCAUCAUCAGCACCCGUCGUCGGUGCUGCAUGAGCCGCUGGAGAAGCUGAAGCGUAAGUAGUUGAUUUUUUUUGUAGUUGUAGUCAUUAAACUGCUAGUUCGGAACCCUCCAAUUGUUGUAGUUAUAUAUUGUUCAAUGCAUUUGUAAGGUUCGCGCUUUGUUUAUACUGCCAGUGUAGUACUGCUGACGAUGGCACACCGCUAGACAGCCGGAAAGCUAAAAUAAAUCGUCAGUAAACUCAAAACCAAACAAAUGUAAUCCUUAAAAUAUCGGUCGAUGGGGUACUUUUGUAUUUAUUUUGACCACAGUUUCUCAGGUUGAUAGCCUUUUAAAUGCGCCACGGGUUUCGAAUCAGUGGUUUAAAUCGCACUGAAUUCUGUCACCGUUAAUGGCUUUCUCGACGACGACGAUAACAAUUCAACCGCUAGACUGUUUGGAUGUUUAUCCUCCGCUGAGACGGUAAAUCUUGUUCUACACGACAAAAUUUCUCCCACAAAUCAUGCCACCGCACAGUUGUAAUUUAUUUCAGUUUUUGUUAUUCUUUCGGUGGUCCUCGGCGGGCGCGUUCCCUGAGACGGUCGGUCACGGUCGGUGAGCCACAUCAUUUCGUUUCCAUGUUAAAACCUAUUACAACACGUGUUGCACUCUUCCGUAUCCUCAAAACAAAUUACCUUGCGACUCGUCGAUUGUUAUUGUUUUGCUCUACCUAGUAGAGAAACUGGGGUUAGAAGUGGAACUCGUCAUACCUAUGUAUGACAGAACUUCACACCCCGUGUCGAUGGCUGAGAACCGAAGCAACAGGCAUAUCCCAUCUCAUCGGCAAUUUGCUUCGCAGCAGUCGCGGAAAGGAUUCAAAAGCAUGUUGUGUUGUGUUGUUGCUGCUGCUCCGUGAAGGCCCGAUUGCCGUGUAGCAUGGUUUCGACAACAACACCAACGAUGACGAUGACGAUUGACGCCAUUCCAACGCAGCUUGGCUUCGCAAUAACCGUUCCGUUACCGACUGGCGUGUAGUGUAGACUGGAUGUUAGACCUGCCAUCGUUCUCAUCGUUUCUUGUGAGCUGGAAUGUAACAGUCGAAAGCUUUUUUUUAUGCAUUGGUGCCUAGCACAGUCAGAAGAACAUCGACAUAACUAUUCAAUGCGAUUGGCAGCAACAAGUGUACAAAUUUCCCUUUGUUGUUCGUAUUGGCGUUUAUAGUUUUAGAUAUGGAAAUAACAGAAAUUCAAGGAGUAAUUUUUAAUGACACAUACAAACUACCAUGGAGUUCAGAACUUCGGGUCUACACUCGUAACAGAAGCCAUAUCUGCUAUACUGAGUAAUGUUGCAUAAUCAAUCGCGGUUACUGAACCAACCUGAAGUCCACUAGAUAUUAUUAUAAACCUUUGGGACAUUUAGGGUCGUCCUAACUGUCCUGAAGUUUAGCUCUUAACAGUAACAGUAGUUAUUCGCGCAAUGAACUGUAACAUUACACAUCCAACUGUAACAUGUAAACCCCUUGGCAUUUCAUGAGUGAUUCCAAGAUACUUUUAAGAUAUUUCAGAUCAACCAAACUACUCCAGAGACCAUAGUUUCAGGUCUACACUUGUGAUGAUAGCUUUUACCACUACGUUAAGUAGUGUUACACAAUCAACUAUACUUAACAAAGUAGUUCGAGAAGCAACAAGCGUCCCAAAAUAUUUUUGGGAUAUUAUAAAUAGUAACAUUAAACAAUCAAAUAGAUCCAUGAACCUCUUAACUCUCAAGGGUCAAUCCAUGAUAGUUUUGUGAUAAUUUAGGUCAUCCAAUCUUUCAUGGACUGAUCUGAUACUUUCUAUUGAUCUUUCAAAAGACUAACUGGACAUGAUAGACCACAAAUCGUAGCUUUGUAUAAUGUAAGAAGUGACCGUUGCUCUCGUAGACUUUAGAAUCUAAACCUUAGAAUUCCAACUUAAGAAUCUAUACCCAAGAACAGUUUGGAUGACCUAGGAUAUCCCGACGGAUCUGAAACUGUCUAUUGAACUGUCAGAAGUAGAGAUGGGAAACUGGUUUAAUUUUGAGAGUGAAUCGCUUCGACUCUUUUGUAACUCAUUUUCGGAAUUUGAAAAUAAAUGUCAAUUUUCGAUGUGAGCCGAAUCCUUUUCGUACAUUUCUAUACUGUUUUCGAGAAAAUCCGCUUACAUUGUGCGGACCUUGACAGUAUGCACAAAUGUCUGAGCAAGACGUAGUAAAAUGUAGGAUAUUUACACAGAUUUAACACCAAAGAAUCGAAUCAUUUUUGCGAUCAUGCAACACACUAUAAGGAUGAAUAAAUGAUCAAUAGCAAAGACUGUGAUACUUUUCGUUGAUCCAUUAUUUAAUGCUCAGCCAGCUAACACUUUUUAGUGACUCGUUGAAAUUGCUGUUUACAUCAGAGAAUCGUAACUCUUUUGAAAAGAGUCAUGAUUCACUCACUCGGUUUCGCGAAUCGAUUCUUUGAGUCGAUCCGCGAGUGAGUUACCCAUGUCUAGUCAGAAGACUAACUGGACAUGAUAGACUACAAAUCGUAGCUUUGCAUAAUGAAAGUAGUUACAGUUACACUUGAAGACUUUAGGAUCUAAGCUCAAGAACAGCUUGAAUGACCUAAAAUAUCCCUGGGUCAUCUCUGAUUCUAUCUAUUAAACUUUCAGAAGACUUACUGAACAUGAUUGAUUACAAAUCGUAGCAUUGUAUAGUGAAAGAAGUUACAGUUACACCCGUAGACUGUAGGAUCUAAACUAAAGAGCAGUUUAGAUGACCUAAGAUUUCCAAAAAAACAAGUUCUGCAUCAUAUUCUACCCUUGUUAUUGAUGCUCAACAGCAUACAACUACAGAUAUACUUCGAAAAUACUCUAAAAUAACGUUUGAAAAAAUUCCGGCUUCAAAGGGUUAAGCUGUUGCAAGAACACCUUUGAGUUUAGAUUAUUGAAUCAACAAGCGUAACUAGUGAUCUUUUGCUGUUUUAUGAAUAUGUUGUGAACAUGCAAAGACCCAUGCAUAUACAUAUUAGAGUGGGUCAUCUUUUAUAUGGAAAAAUGAAAAAUUCAAUGGUAUCCCAUCAGAUCAAAGCAUUUUUAAUCGCAUUUUAGGAACUAAAUAAGUGUGAAAAAUUUGGGCACGAUCGGUUAUGUCUACGUUUUGCGCAUCGCGUUUGAAGUUUGUAUGGGCUUUUACAUGGGAAAACGCACUUUUUUGUAUUUCUCUCAUAAAAAGUUCGAAUUUUUCUAAAACCAUGUAACCGAUAAAAUGAAAACAUAGCCUAGGGUGUCCUGAAAAACUUUGUCGAAGACCGCGAAUUGAUCUGAUGCUUAUGAAAAAAGUUAUAGCGUUGGCAUUGCUUGGCGAAACAGCAUGAUUUUGUUGCUAUUAUUAUUCCUUUACAUGUUAAAUCAUAAACACAUGCAUGCGGUUCGUUGGUUAUAACUAUUUUCACAAGCAUCGGAUCGCUUUGCGGUCUUCAACAACGUUUUUCAGAACAUCUUAGGCUAUCAUUUUACAGUAUCGGUAAAAAAGUUUCUGACAAACUUUUUCAACUGAUGACAAAAAUGCAAAAAAUUAUGUUUUUCCAUACAAAAUCCCAUACAAAUUGCAAUUGCAAUGCGCAAAGUGUAGACGCAACCGUUCGUGCUCAAAUGUUGCACAGAUACUCAGGACCCGAAACGGAACCAAAAAAGCUUUGAUCUGAGAAAACGGUUCCGAUGACCCACACUAAUACAUAUGUUAUAUCAUGUAAUGAGUUCAAUAGCUGUCUAACGUUCACCAAGAACGCCCUCCUUAAGUAAUCGAAAGUUUCGCUUUCCAUGACAACUUACACUUUCAAGUACCAGGUUAAAUUCCGAACCUAAAUUUCUAGCUGCUUAGGAGGCUAAAGUAUGAUCGCAGGUUGCUUCAUGGGAGUUUCACAUGGUAAGUGUAGAAUUAGCAAAAGGUUAAAAUACACAUAAAUAAAAAAACACACAGUUUCACAUGGGUUUCGGAGGGGUUCAUGGGGAAUCCUUGGGACUUUAAAAGGGGGUUUCUGGGAUGUUUUAGAGGAGUUUGAAAGCGUAUCAAGGCUUUUAAAGGGCUUUCAGGAGGGUUCUGUAGGGGUUUCAGGGAUUCAGAGCGAUUUAGGGGACUUUCAAGGAAGUUUCAGGGGAUUUCAGAUAAAAAUUAAGUCGUUCCAAGGUUUCAGGUGUAACAAAGGACAUAUCUCCCGUUAAAGAUUUCUUACUACAAUACUUAGUAGAUCCUCGCUUAUUUUAAGCAUUAAGCGAGUAAACCUUGGCGGAUUAUCUUGGCGGUAUUCUAAUGAACUUGAGCUUGAGCUUGAUUGACCGCCCGUAGAUGCUACUCCAGUAUCGCCAGAACAACUAGACUCACACAAGGAACCAAUGAGAUUAUUUGCUGGGGACUAGCAGGUAUCUUCAGUGUGUGAGCGUUGGUGGUCUUCUAUUUUUAGGUGCCAACGGCGCCGGCCACGUCAGGUUGCAGGUCAAUCGUUAGUAUCCACAUCUGACCGAAUAUACCUCUGCGUCUGCGCAAACUCAUGCGGAUGUCGGAGUGUUGGUAGGAUAUGGUUGACAGAGGGUUCACGCAUUGGUAUGUGAAUGCCAGGUGUAAGGUGAUAGAUUAGUGCGAUUACUACUAUGAAGCUAAAGCGGCACAGUUCGUUUGAUUGCAUAACUUGUAGGCGUUAUCUGAUAGAUUGACACUGUGCUGUGAACGUUGGAAGAAAGGGAAACGGCUUUUCAACUGUUUCUGGUUCUAGCGAUGGCUACAAAUAUAUGAAUACACAUGAGUUGUAUAUAUAGAGAUGAGAGUAUAGAGAAAGUUGUUAGAAGGAUACAAAGUAGCAGGAAAGGGACGGGCAAGGGAUUGAACCUAGGACCUUCUGCAUGAAUCAGAAGCGGUAGCCACUAGACUACCAAGACCGUCUUUUUAUGUUUUGCGCUUUCAUACAUGUAAGAAAAUAGCUUUUCGGUGAAAUUAGGAACUGUUUUCACCCUACUGGAUAGAAAAAAAUGCCAAUGUGUUUUUUCCGAUAUUUUUGCGUCCUAAUAUUAUGAGAAAAAUCCCAGAUUAAUCUACCUAGUGGUGGUAGUGCCUUUCUCGUCGAAUAUGUACUCAUGACACUAGUUUACAGCAUUUUUGAACUCGGUAAGCUGAUGAUCAUUUUGGUGUAGAAUCAUGCCCUGAGUUCGAAAACGCGAAAGAAAAAAAUUACAGUAGAGCGGCAUUUUUUUCGACUUUCCAUACAAGGUUGAUGAUUUGAAAUCGAUUUUAGUUCUAUUUUUAAGCAAAGUCGCUCACUUCAAACAUCUCAUUCUCCGUAAUCAAUGCUCCGAUUGAGCUGAAAUUUUUACUGGUACUCGCCUACAUACGAUAUGUCAAAUAAACGUCGAGAAAGAAUUUUUAAGUUGUUUUUUUCUUAUUGAAAAAAAAAUACAAUUCUUCAAAAAAUUUUGUGAAUUUUGCUAAAAUUUAAGAAGAUCAUCCCUAAAACUCGCCAAUAUCUUGAAUUUCGUUAAUCUGACGUAAAACAUGUAUUCAGAUGAUCGAAUGGUAUUGCAUUCAGCUUUUAACUUAUGGAAAAAAAUUAAAAUUGGUUGAAUAAAACGCAAGAUAUUUGAAUUUUAGUAAAUUACAUAUUUUGAAAAGUUGCAAAACUCGAUAUUGAGCUAUAACUCAAAAACUGUUCUACUUAUAAUUUUUUGAAUAUCGGUUUCGAAAUCAGCACUAAAUUGUGCUUCAAAAAUUUUGGUCGUUGACAGAAGUUCACGACUUUCGUUUUAUUUUGUAAACUUGUGUGAUCAUUUCAUCGACUGAAGUCAAAGUGUUCGUGAGAGCAAGAUUUGUUUUCUCAAAACCGUCAUCGAUUUGGUAAACUUAUUGAAGGCACAUAUAUUUUACAAAUUCCGAGUUCAAUGCGGUCUUGGACAAAGUUUUUUAUGCACAGCAAGUGAAAUUCCCCAUACUCAAUCUCAUUCAAAUUUCAACUACAUUACAGUCGCAUCAAAAUUUUAUGCAGUGAUUUAUGACGCAAAAGAGGGUUGAAAAAACUUUGUUUGGAGUUGUUGCGAUUGAAUUUUAAUUCGUUGAACCAUCCUACUGUACAGUUUAACCUCAGAAAUCUGAAAAGGUGCGAUUUGAUGAUUAGUUUUGUCAAGAUUUUGUUCUCUUAUAUUGCACCGGUUUUGUUCACUUUCGUAUUUCCGGCGAACCUCCCAACGCUGAACCUACAACACUAGUGGUAGUCACUAUUGUGGUCUGAGCCUAUUUUCUUGCAAACCGUUCAUCAGGUUAUCAAAAAAGCCUUGGUUUGAUGUGUCGCACGGGUUUGGUUUACUUUUACAUUUGGUCACUUCCGGUGGAACACCCGGAACUGGAUCCGGAACACUGCCGGUUUUCUCAAAUACGGUCUGAGACUAUUUUCUUUUCGUUUUACUAUCAAAAAAGCAGCUAUUUGAUAUGCCGCCACGCACGGGUUUGGUCUAUUUUUCAAUUUGGCCACUUUCUGCAGGACACCCGGAACCAAUUCUGGAACACUGGCGGUUGUUUUAAAUUUUUAGAACUGGCCAAUUCCGGUGGGACACCCGGAGCUGAUUUCCAAACACUACCAGUUGACCAAAAUGUGACCUGAAACUAUUUUCUUACUGACCGUUCAUUGGCUUUUCCAAAAAGCUGCUAUUUGAUAUGUCACAUGCAUGGGUUUGGUUCAUUUUUACAUUUGACCAAUUCCGGCGGAACACUCGGUUCCGGAACACUGCCAAUGAUAAUAUGGUCUGAGACUGUUUUCCUUCUUACCGUUCAUCAGGUUAUCGGAAAAGCCGUGAUUUGAUGGGUCGCAUGCAUAGGUUUGGUUUACUUUUAUAUUUGGCCAGUUUCGGCGGGACACCCGGAACCGGUUCUGGAAUAUUACCGGUUCAGAUAUGGUCUGUGAAUAUUUUUCUGCUUACAGUUCAGCAGGUUAUCGAAAAUGCCCUGGUUUGGUGUGUCGCAUGCAUGAGUUUGUUGCAUUUUCAUAUCUGACCCCUUUCUGGGGUACCUGUCUGGAACACCUAAAUGGCCAUAACUCCGGAAUGGUUGGACCGAUCCGAACCAUUUUCAAUAGGAAACAAUGGGGCCAGAUUCCCCGUCGAAUGAACCGUCGGUCAUUAAAAUCGGUUGAGAAUUACUGCCAAAAAGUGACGUGAGUUUAUUUGUACACAUACACACAUACACACAUACAUACAUACAUCACUUCAAUUCAUCGAGCUGAGUUGAUUGGUAUAUGUGACUCGGCUCUCCGGGCCUUCUAUCAAAAAGUCAUUUUUGGAGUGAACAUAUAGCCUUUCCGGUACACUUAGUGUACGAAAAAGGCGAAAAAAUGCAAGGUUUCCCGUGGAGUUUCUCCAGUCAUUUCUUCAGGAAAUUCUCCACAAAUUCUUCCUGGGUUUCAUUCAAAAAUUUAUCUGAGAUUCAUUCAGAUAUUCCUGAGUUCUUUACUAAGAUUUCUUCAAAAGAUCCUUCAGAGAUUCUUCGAGAAGUUCUUGUUCGGAUCUUCCCGAAAUUCUUUCAAAAAUGUCGUCAGAGACUUCUUCAGAAGUUUAGAAAUGUUUAAGGAAUUUCAGCAUAAUAUUUGAAGGAAUACGUUUCCUCAAAAAUCCUACAGAGAUUCCUUUGGGAAUUCUUCCGAAAUUUUUCCCAAAAAUUAGUUUAAAAAUUAUGUCAGGGAUUCCUGCAGUAACCGCUUCAAAUAAACGAACGCCUGAAACGCAUGUAGAACUCUCGAAAAUCUCCUGCAUCAUCACAAAAGCUCCCGUGAAGCCCCUUGCAUCGCUUCUGAAACGCCCCUGAGUCUUGAUGAAGCCCCAUUCUACGUCUCGGGGCUUCAAAGGCCCUACAUCUUCCCUUAAGGCUCAAGCAUCCGUCAUCAUUUUUUGGAAAUAGAAAAGCAGUUUUUUCGCUGUAAAUCAAAACAAUGACCACGAAAAUAUAUUCACUGUAUUCUAUUCCUCAUAUGGAAUACAGUGAAUCCAUUUUCGUUGCAAAAAUGAUUGAUUUGAACGAAAAAACUGCUUUCAAAUGUUUGAUGAUGACGAUGAUUUCAAUGACGAAUGGUUCAACGUUAAACUUCUGAGAGGCCUCUGAAACCCCCUCGAAACGGCACUGAGGCCCUUGAAAGUCCUGCAACGUCUCUGAAAUCCCCUGAAACACUCCUGAAACCUCAUUACCAUGACCCUAAAAUCCGCUGAAAUCUACUGAAAUCCCUUGAGAUGGUUCAGAUGUUGGCCAAAAUAAAAACAGGCCAACUGUAGGUUCAUGUCGGAUUACAUGUCAUAAAUGACGAACAAAGAUUUAAAACCUGUGACACCACAAUGUAUGCUUGCUAGCUGGGACUCCAUCAUCAGGGGUAUUCCAGGGGAACUCUAUGGCACUUCAGGGGAUAUCAAGUGUGUUUAAAGGAGUUUCAGGAGGGUUUCAGGGGGUCUCAGGGGAUCUCAGGGAAAUUGCAGGGGUUCUAGGGACGUUUCAGUGGAUCAUAGGGGAGUUCAGAGUGGUACAUGGAGGUCUAAAGGGCGUUUCAGGGGGAUUCACUGGGUACCAAGAGGUCUCAGGGGUGUUUCAAUGGGUUUUAGAGGAGCACUAGGGGGUCUCAGAGGCGCUUCAGGACGGCCCUGUUGGAACGCUCUUUAUGGCUCCUGAAACCCCCUUAACCCUUAACCCUUUAAAGCCCGACACGAACCUUGACUGAUUCAAAUGGCUCGUUCGCAGUAACUGAGGCAUGAAAUUGCAAUCUGUUUGAAGCUACAUCCAGGGAAAGAGAGUUGUACUAAAAGGUGGUACUUUGGCGAUCCCUUCUUGGCCCUCCCUCUUUUCGUGCGGAGUGGGUACAGGUGUGGCAUACAUCAUAUUUUUAACUAAGCUUGAUUAUUUCGACUUAAUAACAAACAGAUUGCAGUAUUUUCUUAGAUAUUGAAAAAUAAGUUCAAGGGAGGACAGCUGAAAGUUCGUUAGAGUACAUUUUGAUGAUUUUUGGAGACCGUGUUCACUUUCCGGGAUAUUCCGGAAUCUUGCUUCCUUAGGUGACAAGUGACCAGGACCGUCAGAGAAGUGGGCACUGUUUUGAGUGAUUCAAAAACCCAACAUGCAACACAUCAAUCUUGAUGAUUUCCUCAAAAUAGCUCAUUGGGAAACAUUUAAACAUUUUUGUUAACUUUUUGCCACCUGGCGGGACGUUUCAGGAACCUGGUUCCCCAGGGAAGUGAGCUCUCUGGAAACUUCCUGGAAAUGCCUAUGGCUUCAGCUUAAACUCCCAGUCCAGUUCUCGCAAACUAAUUUUCCUCGUUAAGGAAAAAGUAUUUGAAGUUCAUAGCUCACAUUUUCUAGAGCACCGUUCUAAAGAACCAUUCAACGGUUAUGGCUGAAAAGGCAUCAUGAUGGUUGUUCAGUCAUUGUCAACAUCGGGAUGCAUUUUCAGCCGAAUCCGUUACACGGUUCUUCAAAACGGUGGUCUAGAAAAUUUGAGCUAUGUACUGCAAAUAUCUUGUCCUUAAUGUCCUGACUUGAUUUAUGCUCAGCAUUCCCUCUUUUUAUUCCCUUUUCAACUUAUGCACAUAUGUAUUCCAAAAAAAAAAUACUUACAAUUUUGGUAAAUAGAGAGAAGAAAACUUUGCUCAUCAAAUAGAUUCCAGGAAGUUGCAAAAACCAUCAUAAAACCAAGUAUAAUAAUUUCAGCUUCACGACGGUAGUGUGACGGUAUUUCUCGAGACUAAUUGGACUUCGUGUUGUUGCUUAGGAAGGAAAUUGUAUUCUGAAAUCAUAUUGGUCCGGAGACUUUGAAGAUUUUGAUUAAAGAAUAGUAGCGCAGAAUACCGUAUGAAUGUACUGUUUAUCGUUUCUUUUAAUGUUUAUUAUCGUGAAUUUUCAACUAGUUAUUUAUGGAACAAGGUUAACAAAAAAUCGAGAAUAUGUUUUAAUGAAAAUGAACAUUGACUGAGAUUUAUUACAAUGACAAUCGAUUGAUUUUAAGAGCAACUUUUAGAAGCAGCAAUUCUAAGAAUUGCAAAAUUUUCUCAAAAUUAGUUGUGAAACAGAAAAUUUAGAUGCAAGACUCAAACUUGCGAAAAUCACGACAAUCUUCCAGUUUAGUUACGUUGAGAAAUCACAUUUGUACUGAUAGUUUUCAUGGUAAUGAACGUGCAUUUGAAAAUCGUACACUACAGUGAUGUCAUGUUGUAUGACAAUCACUAUUGAUUGAUGACCAUUUAACCGCUAAUUCACAUCACAAAAACUAUCCGAAAAUGUCGUAAAAUUCAGCAAAAUUAAUGAUCGAUUUGAUUAUUAGUAAAUUCUUUGAGAAUACCCUGUAAGCGUUCCUUGAUUUUUUUUCAUUUCCUUCGACAAUUUCGGUUAUUACUUUGCAAAUUAAUUUCACAAUUCUUCGGAAAUGCUUUAAGGAAUUCCAUUGGCAGUUUUUUUUCGCAAUUUCUUUGGCUAUUUAUUUGAAAAUUCUUUCAAUUGAAUUCGGAAAGGCUCCUUUGCAAUUUCUUUAUAAAUUGUGUUCGCUGAAAGCUUAUUUAAAGUUCACCGGUGUAUUAUCUGAGAAACGGUGGAGAUAUUCCUCUGAGAAUUCAUUCUGUAAUAUCUUCUUGAAUUUCGUCGGUAAUUUUCUCGGGGAAGCUCUUAGGCAAAUAAUUUGGAUAUUAUUUAGUCAAUUUUUGUGGAAAUCGCUUUCCUCCGGAUUUUUUUUAGCAAAUUUUCUAGUUGCUUUGGUUAAUUAUAAAGUAACUUAAUCUAAAACUCCAUCAAGAACUGUUUAUGAAAAAUUUAUAAAAAAAUAUUUCUCGAUUUAUUUAUUGAUUUUUUUGGAAAUUUCUUUUCUUCUGAAAUUUGUUUUAGAAUUUCUUUAGCAAUUGCUUGCGAGUUUUCUAACGGAAAUUACUACGAGGAUUAAAAUGUUUCCUUUGAUAUUAAUUUCAGUAUCAAAAAUAAGGGCUACAAUUAAAAAAAAAAUCAUAGAGGCUGAGAAAAAGGUGACUCUUUAGAUGAUUCGUUGGACGAUUUUUAUUGUUUUUUCUGAGUUUUUAAUUUGGAAUAACUCCGCUAAUUUCUUCGUAAAUUUCUUUGAAUAUGGUAAAAGCACUAGGCUUUGCCCCCUCCUUUUUUCUGCUCUAUUCUUCACCACUUCAUACAUAAAAAAAAUUGAAUUUGCAUGGCGGGGCGAGGACUAUGUAUAGCAAAGGCGAAGUCUAGUGCUUUUGCCAUACUCUUUUGAUAUUUAUUCGGAAACUCUUUCGGGAUAUUGUUUAGAGCUUUCUAAAGAUAUAUCUUUCGAAAAUAUCUUCAGCAAUUCGCUUCAACAUUUUUUUCUGAUUUUUGUGCUUGGAAAUCUUUGUAUUUUAUUUGUUAUUUUUGCGAAAUUCCGUUCGAAUUUGUUUAAAACUUCUGGGGAAAUUCCUAUAACAAUUCUCCUGGAAAUUUCUUCUAAUUUUUCAAUUUCCUAAUUUGAGAAGACUUUUGCCAAUUCCUUUGGUUAUUCCCAGGUUCCUUUGUGAUUUUGAGCAUGAGCAUGAGCAUGAUUGACCGCCCGCGGUUGCUCCUCUGUUAUUGCAAGGACAACUGCAUUUACAUAAUGAACCAACAGAUGGUGCUUGGGAUUAGCUUUCUCUUCAUUGUGUAAAUGCUGGAAUCCCAAUACUUUUCAAUAAGCAAUACCAGCGCCGGCCGCGUCCGAAUGCAGGUCAAUUGAGGAUAGGGAAGGAAGUGAUGACGUGAUUCUCGCUUAGGCCAAUAACCGAGGAAUUCUCUGCGUUACUACGAGAAAUCACUAGGAGUUUGGACAGGGGAAAUGGAGAUAUGUUGAGGAUUUCAUCGUGGUAAACGAAUGUCAUGUUUUGAUUCGCGAUUAAUAAUGCGCUCAAGAAGAAAUACCCUUCUAAACCGUGGACGACGAACGCGAUCUAUUGUGCCUCAAAACUCACCCUAUAUAAGUUAUUCAUUCGCAACUAAGGAGAAUACAAUGCUAAAUACCGACGCAUCUGUAGUUUGCGUUUCCGCGCGAGACAAUGCUAAACGCGAUCAAUUCACAAGUAUUAACAAAAUAACACGUUAUAAAUAAAUCAGAAACAUCUUACCGCAUGGUUCACCGUCUAUCUUUUACCGACCCUCUCUUUUUUCCAGAAAUUCAUGCAACUUGAGUCAUGAAGUCAUGAGUCAAAUUCAUGUAAUUUGAGUCAAAACAUUUAUUCAUUUAGACUAAAAUAUUACAAAUGUCGACACUGAAGAUGACGAAACAUUCAAAUUUUUGUGUACAUGCAAAAAAUGAAAGAAAAAUAUUUAUUAUCUACUAAAUGUGCAUUUGGAACUAGCGCCGACACAUGACGUGACGAACUUUUCAAUAUUUGUUAGAUAAAUACACAAAAACCAGAGCAGAAUUUUAUACAUCCUUUAGCAUUAAUUAUUAUGAUAAAAUGAUAAAAUGGAACGAGCUCACCAAUAAACAUCCUUCGAAGUGUCCAGUGCAUAUGUGCUGCAGCAUCUUCCACUAACCAGAGAUGCAUUUGAACGCGUUCUAUUCAUGUUCUGUUCAAGAGCUGUGCUCACGUGAGCCGUGUUCAUGUUCAAACAUUUCAGGCGCCUGAUCACAGUGCUCUUCGUAGCUAGUAGCAACUGAUAGCAACAAAUUGCUACCGUAUGUGUCGCGCACCUAGUACCAAACUCAAGACCAAACUGCAAAAGUGAAUUUCGAAGUGAAAAUUAUAUCGCGGUAUACACCGUAAAUUAAAUGAUAUGUCAAUUAAGUGGUGGUUCAAAGUAUUGAAUGUCACAAUCUUUUAUUUUAGUAAUCUAUUUGGAAGACAUCCGAGCAAUUAUGGCAUAAUACGUGGGCCCCACACUGCGGGGACAACCGACAGAGACUUGACUGCUCCACGAAAAGUAUCGAAUAUUAGGGCUCUUCUCGCUACACCCGGCCAAGCUCGGACAUACGAUACCUAACGAUAGCUAAGGGCUCAGAAGCAUUGCAAGAAGCAAUGUUGCAUUCUCAUCGAUAGAAAACUCCUUCCCAAUCCAAACAAAACGCAUAUGACCUGUCAAUUUUGAACAUCGCUCGGUGUUCAAUCUAGUAAUCUAGAUUGUGUUCAAAAUUUUGAACAUGCUCUUGAGAGCUUUGAGGGAAAAAUUUAUGCACGCUCACAGAUCAUGAGCGUUCAAAAUGCAUCUCUGCCACUAACUGGCCUCGAAAUCACACUGAACCGCUACAACAACACACGGGUACGACGAUGUGCACAUUCAAAUUGUCGACGACGGCGCGGCCGAUCCGAAUGAAAAAAGCGGCACUUUCACUUUGCCUCCAAAAACAAACUAAACCGCCCCGUACGAAGAUAAGCACGCACACAGGACGACGACGCGAUGCAACGACGAACCAAGAUGGAGUCAUAUGAGAAAUAUACACAAAUAGAUACAUGAUAGACAAAGUGAAAGAGAUAAUUUUCAAGAUGCAACUUUCGACAUUGACAACAAGAAACAAGUCGACACUCAUGGUGACGAACUAUACAAAUUUGAUCAAAAUGUUCAAAAGAUACAUAUACACAUAAUGAAUAAAUAAAAUAAUGGCCCCUUUGUGAUUUUUUCCAUAAAGUUCCUCAGAAAUUCUUUCUAAAUUUUGUUUAGAAUCUUCUCAGGAAUUUUUUUUAGAAACCUGUGCGACUCCUCAGGAAAUUCUUGACAGUUACUGGAAAAACUGUUUCGAUAAGUUCAUUGAGUGAAGAUUUUGCAACUCUUAUGGGAAUUCUUUUGAAUUUUCAAUGGAAAUUUCUUUUAAAAAUGCUUCGGAAAUUCCUUUUUAGAUUUUUGGGAAAUUCCUCACAUUCUUUUGGUGAUUCCUGCGAAAUUUUUUGUAUAAAUUACUUCGACUUUUUAUUUUGAGAAUCGCACGCGCCAUGGAAAAUACACGCUCGUGGUACACAGCGUGAGCGCGGUAUCGCUGAAGGUGGUCUAAGACGCAACAGCUCGACGGUAAGCAAAGCAAUUGCCAACCGAGUUUCCAAAAAAAUAAUGAAGAUUCUGCUAAAAGAGUUGCAGAAGAAAUUUUCCAAGACAUUACAAAAUGAGUUUCCGUAGGAAUAGCCGAUAGAAUUCACAAAGAAUUUGUCGAAAUAAUCCAGAAAUUGUAAUCGUAUUCAAACCCUGAGUUUUCAAUAAAUUGCUAAAGGAACAUGGGUAGAUAUUAUUCCAAUUUAAAAUUUGCACUACUGCAAUACUUGUCUGUCUCUUUCUUUGCAUGUCAUUGCACCAUUUUGUUUAUUCUGUGUCAAUCAUAAUGAUAAUCUACGCCCAGAAAAUCUUCAAACUUUUUCAACUAGAUCGGGAAUCAAACCCAUACUUCGGAUUGUCAGUUCAAAGCCCCAUCCACUCUCCCAGUAACACAAAUGAUUAAAACAGUUCUUGAUCUACAAGCUCAACCAUCGUAUUGAACGUUUCUUACUGCUGAAAAGGUUUGUGAUGUUAUUUUUUUUUUAUUUUUUAUCUUUAUUAACGAGAUUUUCAGCCCUUGGCUAGUUCAUCUCGUGACCCACGGUUUUACUUCCCUUCCGAAGAAAGAACCCACAUGUUGUGAGUUUGUCGGGAGUGGGAUUCGAUCCCAGGUGCUCGGCGUGAUAAUCACGUGCUUUAACCUUUACACCAGGUCCGCUCCAUGUUAAAUGGUGCUGAUAACCACUGGGAGUCUAAUUGACAUAAAAAUGUUACGACUCACUCAAAGUGCAAAUUUUUAUUUGUUAGUUAUUUAAAAUCAUAUUAGUUAUUUGAAAAUCACAAACAUUUUUAUGGAAGUCAUACUUCUAUCUCAAAAUAUCAAACAAGACAAGUGUGAAGAUAAUAUCGAUUACCGUCCCAGCUACCUAUCUUUUCCCUCUCAAAAUAUCUUGGACUCACCACAAGGCAAUCCAACCCAUGAUUACACACUGCCCCUGAAAACAAUGACUCGAGUACGAGUUUCCUCGCCAAUCUGUCUGCAAUCUAUGCCGCAUUAUCCUAAUACCAAAAAGACACACCAAGAGAGAGAGGGUGAAUCCCAAAUAAGCACCACCGACCGAAUCACUACCGAUCCUAAUCAUCAUCAUCACCAACAACAACUACAGCAGCAACAGAACCUCUAGGCUAGGUCUACGAAAAAAGACACAAUCCCUUGAAUCUCAACCCCACAGUCAAGUGUACCUAUCUCUGUUCGGAGGCGACACAAUGCAAGCCAUAUGGGACCAAUUUUCUGGUCAAAUGAAUUUUUACCCGGCUGUGGCCGACUUUCGUUACCGACAACGACGAAAACUCCGAAGGGUUGCUACUUACACUGAGUACAUGUGGCUUCCUUCAGUAGAUAUGUGUUAUGUUAAUCACAUUCUACAACACAUUAGGCCAAGUUCCGAGCGAGGGUGUUCCACGUGUCCCUGUGUCUUUGACUAACUGCUCCUUGGGGUCUAUUUAGUUGCGGUCCACCCGAGUUUAGCUAACGAUCGUUUAAAAUUUUUCCUAGGCGAUUCACUUUCAAGUGUGAUAUAGCUCCCCACUGGAUCGUCCCGACCUCCCGGUUCUCACGGUGCUUAGAGUGCAAUUUGCGCAAAGCUUAUCUCGCCUCGCGCCCGCGUGGCUAGAUUGACUCUGCGGCUACUAGCUCCCGGUCUUUUCUGUUGUGGCAAGAAAUAGUAUUUAGGAUUAAUCUCCGCGAGCUUUAAAUCCCCUAUCCAAUCCAAACGCACACCCCAGCCAGCCAGCCAGAGAGGCUAUAGGCCUGUUCCAUGUAUGGCGAAGGUUUAACGUUUUCUCGCCGGGCAAACAACACACGGGAAGCUUGAUCCCCAAGCCGUGGAUCGAAACCGGAAAAAUGACACGGAUGGCAACUUGUGUUGGCGCUUUCGUGGUGCUCCCGCGACGCAGUGGUUGCGAAGGAAACGAAAUCGUCAGUUACAUAACUGAAUUGCAACUCUUAUAAAACAAAGGUGACUGAUUCGACAUCUAAACAGGUGUGGAAUCAGUAUCAGUCAUCGACUAUGCAGAGAUUUCCAAAAUUGGCAUCCUGUCCAUACUUUACAGGAUUUUCUUUGUUUCAAACAAGUUUAAGAUGUAACAUAUUUAAAACAAUCAAUACCAGAGUGGUGAUUAAGCAGCGGGAAUGUUAUUUCCUCAUAUUAGUUAGUUAUUGCUGAAAGUUAUACCAUAGUUGUUGGGAGCAUCGCCUCUAUACUGACAAACACCUAUUGAUAGCAGCAUUUCAUUUGUGCAGCUUCAAUGCUGGAAUAUUUAUGUAUUAUUAUAAAAGAUUAAUCAUUAUUUACAAUUAUUUAAACUCACAUUUAAGUGUUCCUAUCAGUCACUAACAAAGGCUCACACUUCCAACUGAUGAACAGCUCACUCUACUAGCUGCCUAUUCUACUGUCGUAUAAGCUCCUACAGUGUUGCCAGUUUCACAAGAAAACCGCUACAACAAUAGUGUUGAAAAAAUGUUUUAUUAAAGUUGGAAAUCAUUGUUUAUUUUUUUCCUUGUUAAAGCUUUUGUCUAAAACAAUUUUUUUUUCCUGAAAACUGAUCGAUCACUGCAAUAGAACUUGUAUGCAACUUUUAUACACCAUGGAUACCCUUACAUAGCUGAUUUUUUUUCUUCCCCCAUCUUAUCUUAUUUUGUACAGCAAGUGAUUUUGAUUUCUUAAACUGAACCACUGUGGACGACACAGAGUAUCUUUUUUUCUUCUUUCCUAUGUUUCCGACUCCGGAUGAACCGACGCCAGUCAAUUGUGUGCGCGCAAAUAUUUGAUCGUGCUCUUUUUUUCUGUUUGAUAUCGUUUUCAACAAUUUUAUCUCGUACACCCGAAUUCCACCACUGCCGUCGUCAUCGCGUCGCGACGAUACGCGAAUGGCCGGGCGUGGGUGAUGGUGGGUCAUUCAAUGUUUUGCUUGGGAUCACUCUCAUUUGUUAAAUAGUAUGUACCCGGGUUUGAGCUCUGUGGCUCAAUGAGGAUGAACGUUGUUGCCCGUCGGAUCUUUUUUUUUCUCUUGUGAUGUGACUUGAUUAAGAGCUGUGCUGCCGGGGAUUUAUGGCACGUGAGAUGAUGCUUUAUGGCACAUUCCGUGCCCGUUGUGGAUCAGUUAAGAUACAAUGAAGCGGGGGUUUUAAUUUAAUUCAAUUGGUAUACACUCAAUAGUAUUCAAAUAUGAAGAAACUUAUCGAGUAAUUUACUGAAAAACUCCUGAAGAAAGUUCCAUCAGCAUUCAAGAAGCAUUUCCAAAACAGUUCAAUUGGGAAAACCCCCGGAGAAAUGCUCAAAGGAAUACCUAGAGCAACCCUCAGAACAAUUUUCAGUAAGAGUUUCUAGAAUAACUUCUGGAUUCCUAGAAGAAUUCCUGAAAGAAUUCCCAGAAGAACUCCUGGAGGAACUUCCAAGGAAUUCCUGGAGGAAUUCCUAGAGGAAUUCCUAGAUGAAUCCAUAGAUGAAUUCCCAGAGGAAUUCCUGGUGGAAUUCCUAAAAGAAUUCCCAGAGAAAUUCUUGAAUGAAUUUCCGGAGAAAUUCAUGGAGGAAUUCCCAGGGGAAUUGUUGUAGGAAUUCCCAGAGGAAUUUCUGAAGGAAUUUCCAGAAGAAUUCCCAGAGUAAUUGUUGAAGUGAUUCCCAGAGGAAUUCCCAGAGAAAUUUCCAGAGCAAAAUUCCAGAGGAAAAUUUCAGACGAAUUUCAGGAGGAAUUGCUAGAGGAAUUCCUGGAUGAAUUCCCAGAGUAAUUCUUGGAUGAACUCCCAGAGAAACUCAUGGAGGAAUUCCCAGAGAAAUUUCUGAAGAAUUUCCAGAGGAAAAUUCCAGAUGAAAAUUUCAGAGGAAUUUCUGGAGGAGUUCCUAAAAUUUUUCACAGUAAAAUUUCCAGAGCAAUUCCAGAAGCAAUUUCCAGAGAAAUUCCUGGAGGAAUUACUGGAGGAAUUCCGAGGAAUUGCCAGAGGAUUUACCAAAGUAAUUCCCAAAGAAAUAACCAAAGGAAUACAUAGAGCAUUUUCCAGAGGAAUUUCUGGAGGAAUUUCUGGAAGAAUUCCCAGAGGAAUUCCCAAAGCUUUUCCUGGAGGCAUUUCCAGAGUUACUCUUGGAGAAAUUUCCAGAGGAUUCCACAGAAAUUACUAAAGGAAUUCCCACAGCAAAAACCAAAGGAAUAUCCAGAGGAAUUCCUGGUGGAAUCCCUAGCAGAAUUCCCAUUAAAAUUCUUGGAGGAAUUCCCAGAGAAAUUCAUGGAGGAAUUCCCAGAGGAAUUGUUGUAGGAAUUCCCAGAGAAAUUCCUGGAGGAAUUCCUGAAGGAAUUUCCAGAGGAGUUCCUAGAAGAAUUCCCAGAGGAAUUGUUGAAGGAAUUCCCAGAGGAAUUUCUGGAGGAAUUCCCAAAUAAAUUUCUGAGGAAUUUUCAGAGGAAUAUUUCAGAGGAAUUUCUGGAGGAAUUCCUAGAGGAAUUUUUGGCGGAAUUAUUGGAAGAAUUUCCAGAGGAACUCCCAAAGCUUUUCCUGGAGGAAAUUCCAGAGUAACUUUUGGAGAAAUUUCCAGAGGGAUUCCGAGGAAAUUUCAGAUAAAUUACCAAAGGAAUUCCCAGAGCAAUAACCAAAGGAAUACUCAGAGGAAUUCCUCUGGAAUUUCCAGAGGAGUUCCUAGAAGAAUUCCCAGAGGAAUUGUUGAAGGAAUUCGCAGCGAAUUUCUGAGGAAUUUUCAGAGGAAAAUUCCAGAGGGAAAUGUCAGAGGAAUUUCUGGAGGAAUUCCUAGAGGAAUUCCUGGAUGAAUUCCCAGAGUAGUUCUUGGAGGAAUUUCCGGAGAAAUUCAUGGAGGGAUUCCCGGGGGAAUUUCUGGAAGAAUUUCCAGAGGAAUUGUUAUUCCUCCAGCAAUUCCCAGAGGAAUUUCAAAGAAGUUUCGGAGGAAUUUCCAGAAGAAAAUUCCAGAUGAAAAUUUCAGCAGAAUUUCUGGAGCAUUUCCUAGAGGAAUUUCUGGCGGAAUUAUUGGAAGAAUUUCCAGAGGAACUCCCAAAGCUUUUCCUGGAGGAAAUUCCAGAGUAACUUUUGGAGAAAUUUCCAGAGGGAUUCCGAGGAAAUUUCAGAUAAAUUACCAAAGGAAUUCCCAGAGCAAUAACCAAAGGAAUACCCAGAGGAUUUCCUGGAGGAAUUACUUGAGGAAUUUCUGGAGGAAUGCCUGGAGAAAAACCUGGAGGAAAUCCAGGAGAUACUCCCAGAGGAAUUCCUGGAGGAAUUCUUGAAGGAAUUCCCAGAACAACUCCUGGAGGAAUUCACGGAGGAAUCCCCUGAGGAAUUUCCAGAGGAAUUCUCAGAAAAAUUCCCAAAGGAAAUCCCAGAGUUGUUCCUGGAGGAACUCCCAGAUGAACUCCUGAAGGAUUUCCUGGAGGAAUACCUGGAGAAACUCCCAGAGGGUUUUCUGGAAGAAUUCUUAAAGGAAUUCUUGGAGGAAUUACCAGAGCAAUUCCUGGAAGAAUUCACAGAGGAACUCCCAAAGGAAUUCCCAGAAAAAUUUCCAGAGGAAUUCCCAGAGGAAUUCCGAGGCAUUUCUAGAGGAAUUAUCAAAGUAAUUCCCAGAGGAACCCAACCGAAGGAAUACCUAAAGGAUUUCCUGGAGGAUUUACUUGAGGAAUUUCUGGAGGAAUUACUGGAGAAAUUUCUGGAGGAAUUACUGGAGAAAAUCCUGAAGAAUCCAUGUAGUAAUUCUUGGAUUAAUUCCCAGAGCAAUUCCUGGAGGAAUUCAAAGAAGAACUCCCAAAGGAGCUCCCAGAGAAAUUUCCAGAGGAAUUACCAAAAGGAUUCCCAGAGGAAUAACCGAACGAAUACCCAGAAGAUUUCCUGGGGGAAUACUUGAGUAAGUUCUGGAGAAAUUGCUGCAGGAAUUCCUGCUGGAAAUUCUGGAGGAAUUCCUAGAGCAAUUCCUGGAAGAAUUCACAGAGGAAUUUCCAGAGGAAUCCCCACGGGAAUUUCCAGAGUUUUUCCUGGAGGAAUUUCCUGAGAAAUUCCGAGGAAUUUCCAGAGGAAUAACCAAAGGAAUUCCCAGAGGAUUUCCUUUGGGAAUUACUUGAGAAAUUUUUGGAGGAAUUACUAGAGGAAUUUCUUGAGAAUUACUGGAGGAAUUCCUGGAGGAAAUCCUUGUAGGAACUCCUGGAGGAACUCCUGGAAGAAUCCCUGGAGAAAUUUUUGAAGGAACUCCUGGAAGAGUUUUCGGUGGAAUUCCCGAAGGAAUUCCUAGAAGAAUUCCUGGAUGAAUUCCGUUAAGAACUCCUAGAAGAAUGCUUAGAGGAAUUUUUGGAGGAAUUCCCCGAGGAAUUCUCAGAGGAGUUCCCAGAGGAAUUCCAGAGGAAUUCCGAAGAAUUUCCAGAGGAAUUACCAAAGGAAUACCCAGAGUAUUUCCUGGUGAUAUUACUUGAGGAAAUUCUGGAGGAAUUACUGGAAGAAUUGCUAGAAGAAUUACUGGAGGAAACCCUGAAGAAAUCCCUGGAGGAAUUUUUGGAGGAAUUCCUGGAGGAAUUUCUGGAGGAAUUCCCAGAGGAAUUCCUGGAGGAUUUCGUAGAGCAAUUUCUGGAGCAAUUCCUAGAGGAAUUCCCAGAGGAAUUCUUAGAGUUUAUCCUGGAGGAAUAUCCAGACGAAUUACCAAAGAAAUUCCCAGAGGAAUAAACCAAGGAAUACCCAGAGAGUUUCUCAGAGGAAUUCCUAGAAGAAUUCUUCGGGGAAUUCCUGAAGGAAUUCACAGAGACAUUCCUGGAGGAAUUCCUAGAGGAAUUUCUGGAGUAAUUAGCAGAGAAACUCCUGUAGGAAUUCUUAGAGGAAUUCUUGGAAAAAUUUCCAGAGAAAUUCCUGAAGGAAUUCCCAAAGGUAUUGCUGAAGAUUUCUUCAAAAAAAUAUCUUGAGGAAUUCCCAGAGCAAAUUAAAAAAAAAUAUUAAAACACUCAUUGUUUUGUUUUUUUUUUCGAAAGUUUUGUUGUAAAGAACAUGUGUAUUUCAUUUCGUCUGAUUUAAUCAAUAUUUUUCUUUAUAAGUCCCCUGUCCACAUAUCCUACUGUCUUUCCUAAAAUGCUAAUAUCAUUCCACAAUAUCUUUCCAUGUGAUUCCCUCGCCCAGCAUCAGUGCCGGAAAACUGCGCACUUGUUUCCAUAAUCCAAUAAUAAUUAACCGAUUUCCAUCCUCACCUCCACCACCAUCUAUCUCAUCCACCGAUAUCGACCGACGACGAUGAUGAUGUAAUCGCAUUGUGUUAUCACAAUUAAACAAAUUACACCGACAUAAUAGCGCUCAAUUAGAUCACGAUUUCGUUCGGUUUUCGACGAAGCCACGCCGUCGAGAAGAAACACAAAGUGCACCCUCUCUCUGCAUACUUUCCAUAGUUUCAGCUGAAGCAGAACAUCGGAGGCAUCGAAUUACACCCGAAAGUCACCCUUCUCGAAGCGCAGAGAUGAGGAACAACAGUUUCCUGCCUCGCACGAUAUUCCUGCGUAACAUUCGGAAAGGGUCUGGCAGAGGGAAACGAGGGAUUAACAAAAAAAAAAACGUCACGUAAAAUGCUACAUUGCUGCAUCAUCAUCAUCGUGGCUUCAUGAUUCGUCUGAGGGAAACAGGGGAAAAAGUUUUUGGAUUUCCCUGAAAACAAAUUGCUCAUUUUUUCCUUAUACCCCGCCACGUCGGUUACCUUGCCAUGCAACUGGAAUUUGUUUAUUUAUGAUUAUCUUCGGAGGAAAACGAUAGGUGCUGCGUGUCAUAUAGGGUAACUGUACUGGUGAACGUCACACGUAGUUGUCUGGAAGUAUAGACAUACCUUCGAAGAUUUCUUCAAAUUUCCUUUAGGGACUUUUUAGAAAUAAUUUCCGAUUUUUUUUAAGAAUUUAUUCAAAAAUGAGUACACAUUUUUUUUGAAGAUAUUCUGGAUUCUGAAAAGGUAUUUUUUAAAUGUCGCUUCUUCUGGUUGAAUUUAAAAUUCUUAAAUGAUAUUUUUUUUCAGAAACUUUCAGUAAUCAUUAUUUAUUAAAAUCAUAUUACCAAUAUUUUUACCUUUAUCAAAAUAAUCAAUACCGAUAAGAUCCAGGGGGUGGCCAAAAUGUUUGGAAUACCCGAGCAGAGGAGAAUAGCAAAUUUAUAACAACAGAAUCAUACAGCCUUUUUUAUAUCAUAAUUUGUUAUUGCCUAUAGGCAACAUUUUCUACUCUAAAAAAAAAGCAACUUGUUGUAAAUUUUUAUAGAAGGCAUCAAAAAUUCUCAAAUUUUGACUGUUUGUUAACCUAUUAUAUGUGCAUUAAUGGUACAAAUUUGAGCGCGAUUGGUUAAUCUUUCGCAAAGUUAGAACCGUUCUGGAAAAACACUAUUUUUAAAGACAACUAAUUAUUGAACUGUUAUAUCUCGGAAACCAGUGAACCGAAUAGGUUGACAAACAGUCAAAAUUUGAGAAUUUCGAUACACUCUAUAAACAAUUACACCAUGUUGAUUUGUUUUGUGAAAGAAAAAAAAGUUGCCUGUCCCAAACAUUUUGGCCACCACCUGUAGAUGACUGUAUUCGCCGUGACAUUUAACAGCACUGAUUAUAAUGUUCAUUAUCAUCAGUAUUAUCACCAUGAUCUUCACCAUCAUCAUCCAUCACUAUUCUUAAGCAAGUUGUUUCUUUGUUAGAAUACAAUACAUAUUGAUUCUCCUCUCAAAGAAAAUUGUGGUCGAGGAACUACCCUGUCCAUAAUAGUUUCACCUACCCUAUUCAACUGAUACUCCAGACAGAGUGUCUCUUUGUCUGGAGGACUCCUUGUCUCCGGCCGGGAGUGUCAUCCAUCCCAAGUGUGUAAAUAGGUAGAACGAAGCCCAGCUUCGUCCAAAGAGAGGGUGAUCAAUUAGCCGUGAAGGAAAACAGAAGAAAAGAGAAAGUGAGAGCAGGAUCUUGUGACGGCGGUGCGUUGCACCUCGCCCUUCUUUCUUUCUGUCCCAGGUUCCUGGGUCCUGAAGUGGUAUGGUGUGGUGGCCCACACAAUGACACAAACAACAAUCGCGCUCCAGAUUGAGCGUGACCAAAGGGACACUCCCCCGUGCGAUCGCGCUUUCUCACUGCGCGUUCCAACAUGGAAGAGCGCAGUGAAACGCAACAGCUGGUAUAUGCAAAAUAUAUUGCGCCCGUAUGACAGGUUUAUUGAGAUUAAUCGAGCUGUGAAUGCGCUCCGGAGGGUUUCGUGGUUGAGAUGUUUGAAUGAUGAAGGUUUGUUUUUUUUUUCUUGAAAUAUUUCAAUAAAGGAAAAGUGAAUAAAACUGAAACCAUAAAAGUAUUUUCAGAAACUUAUUCAGGUAUUUUGGUCAGUUAUUUAGAACGUCUUUCAGAUUUCAUUUUUUUAAUAAUUUCAAAAAAAUCAAAUUUUAAGACUUUUUUAGAAAUACUUUGGGAGAAUUACUUGGAGAGGUUACUUGGGAAAUUUGACAUUAUCAAUUUAUUCCACGGAUAACUUUGGGAAUUAUAAAUUCUAAGAACACAUCUCGAGUGAUUCCUCUGGAAAUUGCUCCACGAACUCCUUAGCGGCUUUCCCUAGUUAUACUUUGGGUAUUUCGACUAGGCAAUACAUUUGGAAGAUUUUUUUUAAGAAUUUCUCCGGCAUUUUUUUAAAUUCUUCGGCAGGCUCUUUGGGAAUUCAUUUUGCUGAUUUUUCUGAUUUUUUCAGAAAUAAUUUUGGUGAAUACUUUAGGAAUUACUUGGAAAACAUCACCUUGUCAAUUUGUUUCACAUAUUACUUCGGGAAUUACUUAGUAAAUUUCUCUAUUUUUUGAGGUGAUUCCUCUUGAAAUGUCUUGGAGGACCGCUUUUCAUUCUCUUUAGACAUUUUCAAUAAUAAUUAUUUGAGUAUUUUGUUCAGGGACUGGAGGAAUUUUACCGAAAUUUGUUCGGGAAUUGCUCUUGGAAUUCUCUGAAAUAUUUCAGAAACUCCUUCAGAAUUUUCCCAAAAUUUUCUCUGGGAAAUUUUCAUAAAAAUCAACUGGAAAUUCCUUUAGCAACUGAUCCGGGAAUUCAUCUAUAAACUCUUCCUCAAUUUUUUCUACAAAUUAAUCUAGAUAAGCCUGUAAAAAACUCUGGAAAGAAAAUCCAAUACAUUCCCUAAGAAUGUCUCUAAAAAUACAAUAUAAAAUACAUAUAAAUACAACACAAAACAUAAUGUUUUGUGAAAUGUUAUCUUUUGAACCAGGGUGCCAAUUAUUAAUAACCAAAAUGGCGAUAUCAAGAGGAUUAAUUGUAGUUCAAUAUGAGCAUACGAAGGCUGUGUCAUGAUAGAACAAUUUAAUGAUAUACCAGGAAAUGUACUGUCCACCUCUUGCUUUCGUCCCGAAUAUACGUGCUAUUUCAUAGAUUUUUUUUCAAAUGAAAAAGACCCUGUGGCUCUAGUGUUGUAAUCAGCUAUCAGUUAUAUCCAAGCCUUGUAUAAAUUACGAAGCUUUCACUAAACUAGAUUUAGUUCGAAAUUCGCUCACUGCGUGCCAUUAGUGUUCUUGAAUGGUACUAGCACAGACAAACAGACGUCUCACUCUACUCACUUCCCAUCGUAUCAUUUUUUAAAGGUUAAUCCAAUUAAUCUGUAGAAUGCAAAUCACGCACUCACAGCGCUCGCAUCGUUUUUGCUCCUAUUUGACGUUUGCUCACUACCGCCACCUACUUGACGGUUUGCGAAACUCAGUGUAUUUAGAGCAUUGGGCGAUUAUGUUUCCGUGACGAUGAUUUUAAUCACAAUUUGUACCGAGUGAUACGUCUGUUUGUCUGUGCUACUAGUUUGAGAUUUGCGUUACAUAUCUUGCGUUCUGGAUCAUUUCCAAUGAUACUAUUUUCGCCAAACAUUAUCAAAAGAUUUGUAACUCUCUAAGAAAUCAAUUUCACUAGAAAUUUCGUAGUUGAACUUGUGUUUUUGCAACUAUCAGUUUUUUCUAUACAUCGUAUAUUUUCCAGAGAUUUUUUGAUUUUAUCUCGCGGUUUUCUUUUUGCGGUAGUUACUUCAGAAACUCUUACAACAACUCAUUCGAGAAUAUUUUCGGAAAUCUCUUUGAGAGUCCCUUCGGCAAUCAUUUUAAAAAGGCCAUCGGCAGCUCCUUCAGGAAUUUCUACCCAAAUGAAUUUCUAGGAACUAGAACCGCCAGAAGUUUCUGCUGCUGGAGCAACCAGGAGUUGUUAUGUCUGCGAAGCUGCCAGUUGAAGGAGAAAGCAUCACCAUUUCCGUGUCCAGUAAUGGUCGACGAUUAGGAAAAAAAGAGGAGAAGGAUAAUCCUAGUGCUGCCACGUUCGUCUGGAGGUUCGUCCUGAAGAAGAUGCGGCUCAAGGAGUAAAUUUGUCAAAAGUUGAUGGGCAACGAAGAGCUCCAGAUAGUAGGGAUGGAUUGGAUCAAGCGAGUGAACGUCAGAUGGAUCAUCGUGAUGAUGAACAUUGUCGGGGCAGUUCUUCCCGGCGCGAUUGCAUUCGGCAGAAACUUUCAGCCCAGCCAUUUGCAACAUAUCAAGAAAGAAUGGUUCAUGCAAAGCAGAUCAAUACAGGUGCAAUGCUCAGAGACAGUGGACUACACGAAACUAGGUGAGGUCUUUCUGAUUUACUCUCUAUGUACUCUAUAUUGUUAUAUAACUACAUAUAAGAUGAAAAUUCGCUAUUUUCAACAUCCUUUCAUCUAUUGGAAGCUGCUUCAGUUUUGCGCUCUUUCUAAGUUGAUGAAGGGAUUUAUAAAUGCUUGCAAGGACUUGGCCAGGUCUCCCACAACAAGUUGGUACCAACACCACAAUGCACCGAAUACGCUAGCAAGAUGCGAUUCACCCCCGGAUGAGCUGCAGUGAAACCGUUGGCCCAAUACUUAUCCUGUCCAUCCCUCAAAUUGUGACCUUCUAACCUCGAGCUACCACGAGUACCCUGGCUUCCACCCAUUACUAACAGAUAUCAUCAAAAAGUUAUUACUCUGUAUAAUGUAUAUUAUUAAGUACAAAAAAAGAUCUUUGACUCCGCAAAGCGGUAUACACGAUUGAGCCCCAAAUAAAUGAACUAGAUAAAAAAAGGACUUGGCCAGGUGUGUGGAGCUGAGUGGGUCUUUGAUAUUGUAGUGUAGAUAGUAGCGACAUUAGCAAUGUCAAUGGAUACCGUCGAUGGGGGUGACAAUGGGUAUGGGGGGUGAGAUUGGGUCAAAACGGAGAAACAUUAAAAUUGAAAUAGCUCAUCAUCUAUCGCUAAUUUAUAUUGAAAACUUUAUAUUAUUUCAAAGAAGAGAUGUUUUUACACGUCAUGAUGCAGAAUAACAUGUUUGGCUAUAAUCGUUUUCUGUUAAAUUUGUGGCUAAACUUAUACGAUGAAACUACUAGUAAAUCACUCUGAAAAAAAAUCUCCUUCGUAAUGUUUCACACAAGUACCUAACCAUAAAUUUUCUUAUAAGUGGUUAGCUGUAGGUAUUACCUGGAAGAUGAAAUGAAAAAAGCGGGUUGUCAUUCUUUUUCUUAUUCAAAAAAUCAAUAUUUUCGACCUUAUGUCUAAAUGUUAAGAAUGGGGGUGAGAUUGGGUCAAGCAAGUCAUCGAGUGCACAUAACCUUAACUAAAAAUUAAACUUGUUAUCCAGUCCCCAUUUGACGUUAGAGUGGUGCCAUGUUUACCAUAUCUUCAUAAAAGCACGCUUUUAUUUCGAAAAUAUGUCGAGAAGUGUCAAACGAGUGUGUUAAUACGUUUAGUGCCUAAAAUCAUUUAUCACAAUAAACCCAUGCGUUUGAACAGUUCCUCUAAUCAUCACCUAAUCUUUAGUGUACUGCAAUAUCGUAAGCUCACAGAACAGACAUAAUAGCGUUCUCCUUUUUCACUAAUUUUUGAAAUUUUAGGGAAAUAUCGUGAAACUACCAGACGGUAGUGGGAUCCAGGAAAUACCGAGUAACAUAGCACAAUGUCGGAAAGCGAACGAACGUCGAAUUGCGGCAUACGAGAUUGCUUAUUGCAUAUUUAACUUGAACAUUAUGAAUAAAGAGUGACAAAUAAAGAUCAUUCAUAAAAUACAUGAAAAUACUAAAGAAAGAAGAAUAAGUCUACCGUUAAACUAGGACUCAUACAAAAUUACGUUAUUUUAUUAAAUUUCAACCAUUUUUUCGGUUGUAUUAGCCAUUUUAGGUGGAUUAAUCAUCUUUUUAAUUUACAUAAGUUUUUUUUCAUCAUGGUUACAUUGUAUUUUAGGUAGGUUUACUAGAUAUGAUCAAUAAAAUUCACUUAUAUUCUUGGAUAGGCGAUUUCGAAUACUUUGACCCAUUCUCACCCCCUCUAAGGGGUGAGAUUGGGUCAAUUUUCAAUCAUUUACAGUUUAGUAAGCAAUUCAUAUAAUGUAAUACUUUCUUGCUAAACUAUCAUUACCACAUAGGAGAGUAUACAUACCAAAUAAAAAGUUAUCCCGACUUCAAUUGCAUUUGUUAUUUAACAAACAAUCCUUGAGUAUCCUUUUUUGACCGAUUCUCACCCCCAACGACGGCUUAUUCAACUUUGCAACUCCAGCCAAGAUUUGUGCAAGUAUUUAUGAUAUGCUAUGCUUGAUAAAUUUUUAGGAACUAGAGCUUUUCAGCAUUAUUUUUCGGAAACUUCUUAGGCAAUUCCUCUAGAAACUGUCUCGACAAAUGUUUUGAAAUUUGAUUUCUCAAUUCCUCUGAAAACAUCGAGUGUUCCAUCAGAUUGCUUCGGCAAUUAUGUUUCUGGAAGUUUUGAGGAAUCUACCACUUAAAGUCGAUUCCUGUUGUGCCAAAGCAAUGGCCUUGGAAUUUUUUUCUGAAAUUUAUUUUAGAAUUUCUUUGGUAAUUUCUUUAAGAAAUUAUUCAGCAUGCUAUGUGGGAAUUCCUUGUGGAAUUUUUUAUGACUUUCUGUGACAAUUCCUGUGGAGACAUCUUUGGGAACAAGUUUGGCAACUCUUUUGGCUGGGAUCACAAGUCAAAAUAAAAAAAAACACUUCACAAUUACUUCACUUUUGC